rnacentral:rRNA from 1 species
GGUAACAUUUCUAGCUUGCUAGAAGAUGACGAGUGGCGGACGGGUGAGUAAUGCUUGGGAACUUGCCUUUGCGAGGGGGAUAACAGUUGGAAACGACUGCUAAUACCGCAUAAUGUCUUCGGACCAAACGGGGCUUCGGCUCCGGCGCAAAGAGAGGCCCAAGUGAGAUUAGCUAGUUGGUAAGGUAACGGCUUACCAAGGCGACGAUCUCUAGCUGUUCUGAGAGGAAGAUCAGCCACACUGGGACUGAGACACGGCCCAGACUCCUACGGGAGGCAGCAGUGGGGAAUAUUGCACAAUGGGGGAAACCCUGAUGCAGCCAUGCCGCGUGUGUGAAGAAGGCCUUCGGGUUGUAAAGCACUUUCAGUUGUGAGGAAAGGUUGGUAGUUAAUACCUGCCAGCUGUGACGUUAACAACAGAAGAAGCACCGGCUAACUCCGUGCCAGCAGCCGCGGUAAUACGGAGGGUGCGAGCGUUAAUCGGAAUUACUGGGCGUAAAGC